rnacentral:rRNA from 1 species
UGGCUCAGAACGAACGCUGGCGGCAUGCUUUACACAUGCAAGUCGAACGGUAACAGGCCUUCGGGCGCUGACGAGUGGCGAACGGGUGAGUAAUGCAUCGGAACGUGCCCAGUCGUGGGGGAUAACGCAGCGAAAGCUGUGCUAAUACCGCAUACGAUCUGCGGAUGAAAGCGGGGGACCUUCGGGCCUCGCGCGAUUGGAGCGGCCGAUGUCAGAUUAGGUAGUUGGUGUGCUAAAGGCCUACCGGCAAAACGAUCUGUAGCUGGUCUGAGAGGACGACCAGCCACA